UACGUAGGUGGCAAGCGUUGUCCGGAUUUACUGGGCGUAAAGCGUGUGUAGGCGGACCUUUAAGUAGAAAGUGAAAGGUUGGUGCUCAACACCAACACUGCUCUCUAUACUGGAGGUCUUGAGUGUCGGAGAGGAAGAUGGAACUGCACGUGUAGCGGUGAAAUGCGUUGAGAUGUGCAGGAACACCAAUGGCGAAGGCAAUCUUCUGGACGAAAACUGACGCUGAGACACGAAAGCCAAGGUAGCAAACAGG
rnacentral:rRNA from 1 species